rnacentral:rRNA from 1 species
AUUGAACGCUAGCGGGAUGCCUUACACAUGCAAGUCGAACGGAGUGGCGAACGGGUGAGUAAGGUAUCGGAACGGGCCCAGUAGCGGGGGAUAACUACGCGAAGGGGUAGCUAAUACCGCAUACUCUUGGAGCGGCCGAUAUCGGAUUAGCUAGAUGGUGGGGUAAGGGCUAACAAAGGCGACGAUCCGUAGCUGGUUUGGGAGGACGACCAGCCACACUGGGACUGAGAAACGGCCCAGACUCCUACGGGAGGCAGCAGUGGGGAAUUUUGGACAAUGGGGGAAACCCUGAUCCAGCCAUCCCGCGUGUUCGAUGAAGGCCUUCGGGUUGUAAAGCACUUUUGGCAGGAAAGCGGUACCUGCAGAAUAAGCACCGGCUAACUACGUGCCAGCAGCCGCGGUAAUUC